rnacentral:lncRNA from 1 species
AUGUUUUAUAUUCAAGGAAUAUAAGGAAACUGUGGGAAGGAUAACCACAAUUCAAAUAGAUUUUAGUUGCUCAUAGUUCUUAACAUGAUAUAGUCACUGUUUGAGGAGAAUGACAUUUAAUAAUUUUAAAACCAAAAGAGCUACAUGUUGGCUUUAGUACUGGGCCAGGAGUAAACAAAGGCACAGCUGGUUGUCUAUGCAAUCAAUUUAAGAUAAUUUAUCAUGCUGCAAGGUAAUUAUGAAACCAAUAGAUAUUUUCAUAAAACAGAGCUUAUAUUCUCCUGUAGAGAGAGAUGUAUCAUUAGGAAGUUGCUGAGACGUCUCUUCAGACAUUGUUAACCCUAUCAGUCCGGGAACUCCCAGACUGUUCUUCUGUUCAGAUAGGAACUCAAGCAGAGCUGGGGCCAGGUGAUCGCAGAGUCUUCCUCCCUGUGGCUGACAGUCUUCAGAGAGUAUAGCAUCCAAGUGAGAGCUAACACUAGUGACAGCGGUUCCUCUGGUCUCAUGCCUUUGUUGGAACUCAGUCAGUUUAGAGUAAAAAAUGGCAGUAAGGAGUGGCAAUAAGUAGAUGAUAAUUUGUAGUAUGUUGAGCCUUUAGCAUCUCUGGAUUCUACCUAGUGCAUAUUACUUCCUCAGCAGGGAUUGCCAUGCCAUCGGAGCUGAAUUUUACAAAUGCAUCGUGAAUAUUAAGAAUCGUUUUUAGUGUAGAUGUGGGUAGUGGGGAUACCUCUGAUUUGAACCACAGACAGGUGAACAGCAAGACUAAGAAUGUAUGCUGUAAUGACCCCAUCUUUUUAUGUUUAUUGUAGAUGUGUGCACUAGUUUCCUUUCUAAGUAUGUGGGAGAAUAGAGAUAAUUUCUGGGAAACCCCACUGCUCACCUCUGUGGACAUUGGCAUCAGCAGAGCAUCACAGUGUAGUCAAAGCCACUGGAAAUAGCUGGUACUGCAUAGGAAACUGUGGGGACAGGAGAGUAUAAUUGAAUUUGUCUUUGGUCUUCUGAAAUCUCAGCCACCCGAGGUCUUCAGGGCUAACUUUUUCCAUUUCCUCCCUCAAGAAACCAAACCUAAGAACCAAUUUAAAGAUGCCCCUUCAGUACCAAUUCCUCCGGUGAAAUGUAUAAGUGUUUCAGAUAUAGAAAGGAGGCCGCGCAGCAUGGAAUUGGGUAGUAAGGUAGGAAAGGGCAGAAAAAUUAUAAGGUAUGUCUUCAUCCUUUCUGAGUGUGUGGAUAGUCAUUUGGAUAGAAAAUAGUGACAGGUGAGUCUAGCAGAAACCCCAACUGACUCAAAAAUUAUACAGGAAAACACACAGUAGCAGAAUCCAUUGUUUUUCUAGCAUAUAUGAAAAAGAUGUGAAGUAAGAAGUCUCCCAGCCUGACUGUUAAACAGCAGACAGACAGACACACACACACACACACACACACACACACCAUACACAAACACACACAGAGAUACACAUAGACACAUACAUAUACACACACAGACACACGCACAAUCCACACACACACACACACACACACACACACACACCCUUAAACCUAUCCUUAAGGGUAAACUAAAAAAAAAAAAAGUGCAGAGGAAACCCCUUAUGUGAGUACGACUUUCUUCCCCUUACCUGUCCUAGCUUCCGGGAGAAUUAGAGUAGUGUGUCUCCCUUCAGUCAAUCUCACAUGCCACAGAAAGAAAGGCCAUGUGGUCUGCAGAAUCAGUAUUUUAAACCCCUUAGCACAGGAGAGCCAACUGCUUGGCAUGUUAACCAUUGUCACGUGGUAGAGUCCUCUGAAUACUGUCUGUAGAAACUCUACUGGCACUUUGGCAAAGCACAUCCUUCUGAAGGUUGUUUGGUAUUGAGUAGGGACUCUCAGUAUGUAGCUCCCAGCAUGAGAACUUUGAGCAGGAAUGUACCAUCAGCUCAAUUCCUUCUGCCCUUGUUUUUCCCACCAGGAGCUAACAGUUGUUGUCAUUCUGCCCUAAGACCCCAACCACUACUCAACAUGGUCACAGGAGCUCUAUCAUGGACAAUGGAAGUUUUGAAAAGUUAAAUUGCACUGGGACUUGUACCUAGGACUCAAGUCUUGGUUUUCAGGAUGACUGACAGUCAUGAAAGUAAAAUUUAGUUACCAAGUAAACUUCCUCAUAUCUUUGCUACCUUGACAUACUCAUCUCCCGAUGCUAAGACUCAUCUGAAAUCCUUGUUUAAAAUAUGGAUUUGUUGGUUCUUGAAGCCCUUUGGAGUCUCUCUCACCAUCACCAGCUCUUGUCUAAGCCUGGUUCUCUGCAGUUUUAUGAGUCUCAUUGGUUCCCUUUGGCUCAGACAUUCUUCUGAAGAUAUUUCUUUAGCAUGUGAUUCACACCAGUGACAGAUCUAAAUGCUGAGGUACCCAGUGCAAACAUGACAGACGGGAAUUUCUGUCAGCAGGCACCAGGUUAGUUUGAGAAGCCCUUCACUGUACCAUGUUUAUUAAGUUAAAAUUCAGAUCAAUAGUCUUCUCCUCUAUCCUUUUGCCGAAGAUAGGAAGAGGCAUGGUCACACCUGAAAGCAAUUUCAAGAUGUUCUUUCUUGAGGAGAAGCCAGAAGGUUUAGAGGACAGAGCACAACAUUUUAUUCUUUCCUUCAUUUUGAUUUCUGGCAUUUAAUGACAUGAACAUCCCCCUCACUCUCAUUGAGAAAACAACAACGCCCUCCUUGUCUUCUCUUCAUGCUUCCCACUGAGAACUUCAGAGGGAUCAACAUCCUUCUGGAAAUGUCAGCUACCUGUGUAUUUAUUAUUCACAUAUCUGAACAGGCAGGAGGAUGCUCAGAGGCAGCGACAGCCUCAGCACUGGAGGGCUGUUAAGCAGCCAAAGAGGAUUUCUUGAUUCCCCUUCUGAGGACCCGUCUCCAUUUAAUUGCAUUCAGAUAUUUUAUCAAGACAAUGUCAUAGUUUAAUAAUCUAUAAUGCAUCCCCAAAUCAUUCAUUUCUGAUUUUUGAACUACUGUGUGAUUACUAUCAUUUCACAUGCAUUGGCCUCUUUUAUUUUAAAAACAGGAGAAGAAAUUUCAGGCAGGUGAAGGAAGGGGCAAAUGAUUCCUGCGUUUUCAAAUGUUUGCUGCUUUAAAAACCUGUAGUUGCUUCUUCCCUUAAAUAAGUAACCUGCAUAAUUGUUGUAUUUUUAGUCCUUAAAAACCUGUUUUUGCAAUUGAAAUUUUCAUGCAAUCAGGAUAAUCAAUUGCAAAAUUAAUAAGCUGGAGUGUUCUUCAACACAGCUCUUUUCUGCCUUGAGAAAUGAAGGGAAAAAUACCUCCAUGUGUGGCUCAGUCCUGGAAGACUUUGGUAACAAAUUCUGAAUUGUAUGGCCUCACUUUGAAGUUGCUGAUGACGCUCAUUUUUCUGUCAUUUUCUUAAAUGUUUUCUGUGCCAAACUCAGCAUU